rnacentral:rRNA from 1 species
GAGUAACGCGUAUCCAACCUGCCCACCACUUGGGGAUAACCUUGCGAAAGUAAGACUAAUACCCAAUGAUAUCUCUAGAAGGCAUCUGAAAGAGAUUAAAGAUUUAUCGGUGAUGGAUGGGGAUGCGUCUGAUUAGCUUGUUGGCGGGGUAACGGCCCACCAAGGCAACGAUCAGUAGGGGUUCUGAGAGGAAGGUCCCCCACAUUGGAACUGAGACACGGUCCAAACUCCUACGGGAGGCAGCAGUGAGGAAUAUUGGUCAAUGGACGAGAGUCUGAACCAGCCAAGUAGCGUGCAGGAUGACGGCCCUAUGGGUUGUAAACUGCUUUUAUAAGGGAAUAAAGUGAGUCUCGUGGGACUUUUUGCAUGUACCUUAUGAAUAAGGACCGGCUAAUUCCGUGCCAGCAGCCGCGGUAAUACGGAAGGUCCGGGCGUUAUCCGGAUUUAUUGGGUUUAAAGGGAGCGUAGGCCGGAGAUUAAGCGUGUUGUGAAAUGUAGAUGCUCAACAUCUGAACUGCAGCGCGAACUGGUUUCCUUGAGUACGCACAAAGUGGGCGGAAUUCGUGGUGUAGCGGUGAAAUGCUUAGAUAUCACGAAGAACUCCGAUUGCGAAGGCAGCUCACUGGAGCGCAACUGACGCUGAAGCUCGAAAGUGCGGGUAUCGAACAGGAUUAGAUACCCUGGUAGUCCGCACGGUAAACGAUGGAUGCCCGCUGUUGGUCUGAAUAGGUCAGCGGCCAAG